AAAUAGCCUCGAUUGCAAUGGAAAUCCUUUUCUUUUUUUAAGAAAAAAAAAGAAAAGAUUGGAAUGGAAAGCGGGAAAAUGG
rnacentral:sRNA from 1 species